rnacentral:ribozyme from 14 species
ACGAAGAGGAAAAAGAAGGCCAUGUACAACACUCUUUUCAUCUUUUUCUCUUCUUCUUUUUUCCCUGUCCUUCCUUCCUCUUCCU